GCACUGCCGAGGAGUCCCACAACAGGACGUAGCGGCCGUCCAGUAC
rnacentral:hammerhead_ribozyme from 1 species